CUCCCCAAAGCGCCUUUCGAGGAUCUGGAUCCCUGCACGCGUACAGCGAAGGAGGUUUUCCUUGGACCCUUAGGAAGCCCACCCAGGGGAUCCCACGAAGCCCCCUCGCCCCAUUUCCCCGCGCAGGCAUCCCUGGGACUCUGUGGGUUCCGCGCGGAAAGUGGAUCAGGAUCCUCAGGAGCGUGUCCUGGCGGCCGGAUUAAGGCAGUGUCAGACUGACAGACAAGCUGAGAUACAAUCCAUCAAAAUUCAAUGACAGCGGCUGCGUGAAUCUUCCCAGUCAAAGGACCCAUUUUCAUGAUAGACAGCCCCCGUGGCUGGAGGCUCAACCCCCAGGGUGUGCCUAUACAGGCCAAAGACUGCCAGCAUUAGCACAGGGCCUUUCUUCACCUGCAGCAGAAUUCCCCAACCCACCAAGAAUUUGAGACCCAUCAGAUAUCCUCACCUGGUUUAGCCGGUCGGUUGAAGCUGUUCCUGGGAUUGUGGCCCCUAUUCCAUCCUGACAGCUUCUGGAAGCCACAGGAUUCCCUUUCCUCCCACUCUGAAAAAGGAGAUGGAGAAGACAGUCAGAACUCCAGGGGAUGGGGCACAAUUCCUCCCCAUUAGGGAUAGAAAUUAAAAUGUGUGAAAUGCGGAAUAUGCAUCAUUGAAUGAGCACACAUAGUUCACAUCAACGACCUCCAGCAGGGGAGAAACUGUUUAAAGGUAUGGAGUGUGGGAAACGUUUCGCUGAUAUUAGAAAACUUAGAACAAAUCAGCGGACUCACAUGGGCAGGAAAGGACUGCAAUGCAGGGAGUGUGGGAAGAACUUCAGUCAACAUGGACACUUAAGAUUACAUCAACGGACUCACACAAGGGAAAAAACU